rnacentral:rRNA from 1 species
UAACAGAGGUUUGAUCCUGGCUCAGAUUGAACGCUGGCGGGAUGCUUUACACAUGCAAGUCGAACGGCAGCACGGACUUCCCGGUCUGGUGGCGAAAAGUGGCGAACGGGUGAGUAAUGUAUCCGGAACGUGCCUGUAGUAGCAUGAGGGGAUAACUACGCAGCGUAGCUAAUACGCCGCGCCCUUCGGGGAAAAGCGGGGGACCUUCGGGCCUCGCACUAUUAAACGGCCGAUAUCGGAUUAGCUAGUUGGUGGGGUAGCGGCUCCCGCAAGGCGACGAUCCGUAGCUGGUUUGAGAGGACGACCAGCCACACUGGGACUGAGACACGGCCCAGACUCCUACGGGAGGCAGCAGUGGGGGUACACUGUGGACAAUGGGAAACCCUGAUCCAGCCAUCCCGCGUGUGCGAUGAAGGCCUUCCGGGUUGUAAAAGCACUUUUGGCAGGAAAAGAAACGGCACGGGAUAAUACGUGCAGCGAUGACACCUGCAAGACCAGCACCGGCUAACUUCAUUGCCAGCAGCCAUAGCAGUGGCUGUACGUGAGGUGCAGGCGUUAGUCGGAAUUGCCAGAAUACGGCGUGCGCAGGCGGUUCGGAAAGAAAGAUGUGAAAUCCCAGAGCUUAACUUUGGAACUGCAUUUUAACUACCGACUAGGUGUGUCCAGAGGAGGUGGAAAUUCCGCGUGUAGCAGCGAAAUGCGUAGAUAUGCGGAGGAACACCAUUAAGCGAAGGCGGCCUCCUGGGAUAACACUGACGCUCAUGCACAUGGCAAUAGAAGACAAUAAACAGGAUUACCUGGUAGUCCACGCCCUAACAAUCAAUAGCUGUUGGGGCCUUCGGGCCUUGGUAGCGCAACUAACGCGUGGAAGACGAUAUUGCGCCUGCAAGAAUUACGGUCGCAGAUUAAAACUCAAAGGGAAUUGACGGGGACCCGCACACAAGCGGUGGAUGAUGUGGAUUAAUUCGAUGCAACGCGAAAAACCUUACCUACCCUUGACAUGUCUGGAAUCCCGAAGAGAUUUGGGAGGUGCUCGCAAGAGAACCGGAACACAGGUGCUGCAUGGCUGUCGUCAGCUCGGUGGUAAUGUGAGAUGUUGGGUUAAGUCCCGUAACGGAAGCGCAGCCCUUGUCGUGGAUUGCUACGAAGGGCACUCUAAUGAGACUGCCGGUGACAAACCGGAGGAAGGUGGGAUGACGUCAAGUCCUCAUGGCCCAUAUGGGCAGGGCUUCACGUCAUACAAUGGUCGGGACAGGGGGUCGCCAACCCCGCGAGGGGAGCCAAUCCCAGAAACCCGAUCGUAGUCCGGAUCGCAGUCUGCGCUCGACUGCGUGAAGUCGAUCCCUUCGUAAUCGCGGAUCAGCAUGUCGCGGUGAAUAUGUUCCCGGGUCUUGUACACACCGCCCGUCACACCAUGGGAGUGGGUUUUACCAGAAGUAGUUAGCUAACCGUAAGAGGGCGAUUACCACGGUAGGAUUCAUGACUGGGGUGAAGUCGUAACAAAGGUAG